AUUGAACGCUGGCGGCAGGCCUAACACAUGCAAGUCGAACGAGUGGCGGACGGGUGAGUAAUGUCUGGGAAACUGCCUUAUGGAGGGGUAUAACUACUGGAAACGGUAGCUAAUACCGCAUACCCUCAGAUGUGCCCAGAUGGGAAUAGCUAGUUGGUGGGGUAACGGCUCACCAAGGCGACGAUCCCUAGCUGGUCUGCGAGGAUGACCAGCCACACUGGGACUGAGACACGGUCCAGACUCCUACGGGAGGCAGCAGUGGGGAAUAUUGGACAAUGGGCGCAAGCCUGAUGCAGCCAUGCCGCGUGUAUGAAGAAGGCCUUCGGGUUGUAAAGUACUUUCAGCGGGGAGGCGUUACCCGCAGAAGAAGCACCGGCUAACUCCGUGCCAGCCGCCGCGGUAAUUC
rnacentral:rRNA from 1 species